rnacentral:rRNA from 1 species
AUACGUAGGGAGCGAGCGUUAUCCGGAUUCAUUGGGCGUAAAGCGCGCGUAGGCGGAUGCCUAAGCGGAACCUCUAAUCCGAGGGCUCAACCCCCGGCCGGGUUCCGAACUGGGCGUCUCGAGUGCGGUAGGGGCAAGUGGAAUUCCAUGUGUAGCGGUGGAAUGCGCAGAUAUAUGGAAGAACACCGAUGGCGAAGGCAGCUUUGCUGGGCCGGCACUGACGCUGAGGUGCGAAAGCGUGGGGAGC